UACAGAGGGUGCGAGCGUUAAUCGGAAUUACUGGGCGUAAAGCGUGCGUAGACGGUUAUUUAAGUCGGAUGUGAAAGCCCCGGGCUCAACCUGGGAAUUGCAUUCGAGACUGAAUAGCUAGGGUACGGUAGAGGGAAGUGGAAUUUCCGGUGUAGCGGUGAAAUGCGUAGAUAUCGGAAGGAACACCAGUGGCGAAGGCGGCACUCUGGGCCAGUACUGACACUGAGGAGCGAAAGCGUGGGGAGCGAACAGG
rnacentral:rRNA from 1 species